CCGUGAGCGUGUCAACUGGACGCGACAGGGAUGGUGAACAUGGCGAUUUUUCCAGUUUCUCGUCAUGGCCAACGAAACGGCAGCCGAGCGCCCCACCUGUCCGCCGC
rnacentral:sRNA from 1 species